AUUGAACGCUGGCGGCAUGCCUUACACAUGCAAGCCGAACGGUAACGGGCCUUCGGGUGCCGACGAGUGGCGAACGGGUGAGUAAUACAUCGGAACGUGCCCGAUCGUGGGGGAUAACGAGGCGAAAGCUUUGCUAAUACCGCAUACGAUCUACGGAUGAAAGCAGGGGACCGCAAGGCCUUGCGCGGACGGAGCGGCCGAUGGCAGAUUAGGUAGUUGGUGGGAUAAAAGCUUACCAAGCCGACGAUCUGUAGCUGGUCUGAGAGGAUGAUCAGCCACACUGGGACUGAGACACGGCCCAGACUCCUACGGGAGGCAGCAGUGGGGAAUUUUGGACAAUGGGCGCAAGCCUGAUCCAGCCAUGCCGCGUGCAGGAUGAAGGCCUUCGGGUUGUAAACUGCUUUUGUACGGAACGAAAAGCCUUCUUUUAAUACAGGAGGGUCAUGACGGUACCGUAAGAAUAAGCACCGGCUAACUACGUG
rnacentral:rRNA from 1 species